rnacentral:tmRNA from 2 species
GGGGAUGCACGUAUCGACAGAGAGAUAUUUUUGUAAUGUGCAGACGGAAGUCCAGAACUUCCUAAAAAAGCUGGGUGAAAGUAAGUGCAAACAAACUUUCAAAAGGAAUUCUUUCACCUUUUCAGAUGAAGGACUUUCAAUUCGCUUACGCUACAGCCUAAGUGAUCACAAACUCAUUUGACGUCCGAUAGAUUGAAGUUUGUGUCAUAUAUUCGGACUGGAGAUACCACAUUUCCUAGUAGGUAUCUCGAGAAUAACUGGAAUCGGUAGAUAAGAGUUUUGUUUGCUUCUUAUCUUAUUUACUUAAACCAAAAAGCAAACUAUGUCUGUAGACUCGUUACGUAAACCUUUCUGAACGGGGUUUCAUCACCCCCAUCUCCACAG